UACGUAGGGAGCAAGCGUUAUCCGGAUUUAUUGGGUGUAAAGGGUGCGUAGACGGAGAAGCAAGUUAGUUGUGAAAUCCCUCGGCUUAACUGAGGAACUGCAACUAAAACUACUUCCCUUGAGUGCUGGAGAGGAAAGUGGAAUUCCUAGUGUAGCGGUGAAAUGCGUAGAUAUUAGGAGGAACACCAGUGGCGAAGGCGACUUUCUGGACAGUAACUGACGUUGAGGCACGAAAGUGUGGGGAGCAAACAGG
rnacentral:rRNA from 1 species